rnacentral:rRNA from 1 species
AUUGAACGCUGGCGGCAGGCUUAACACAUGCAAGUCGAGCGGAGAUGAGGUGCUUGCACCUUAUCUUAGCGGCGGACGGGUGAGUAAUGCUUAGGAAUCUGCCUAUUAGUGGGGGACAACAUUCCGAAAGGAAUGCUAAUACCGCAUACGUCCUACGGGAGAAAGCAGGGGAUCUUCGGACCUUGCGCUAAUAGAUGAGCCUAAGUCGGAUUAGCUAGUUGGUGGGGUAAAGGCCUACCAAGGCGACGAUCUGUAGCGGGUCUGAGAGGAUGAUCCGCCACACUGGGACUGAGACACGGCCCAGGAUCCUAAGGGAGGUAGCAGAGGGGAAUAUUGGACAGUGGGGGGAACCCUGAUCCAGCCAUGCCGCGUGUGUGAAGAAGGCCUUAUGGUUGUAAAGCACUUUAAGCGAGGAGGAGGCUACUGAGACUAAUACUCUUGGAUAGUGGACGUUACUCGCAGAAUAAGCACUGGCUAACUCUGUGCCAGCCGCCGCGGUAA